rnacentral:rRNA from 1 species
CAGCAGCCGCCGCGGGAAUACGAAGGGUGCAAGCGUUAAUCGGAAUUACUGGGCGUAAAGCGCACGCAGGCGGUUUGUUAAGUCAGAUGUGAAAUCCCCGAGCUUAACCUGGGAACUGCAUUUGAAACUGGCAAGCUAGAGUCUUGUAGAGGGGGGUAGAAUUCCAGGUGUAGCGGUGAAAUGCGUAGAGAUCUGGAGGAAUACCGGUGGCGAAGGCGGCCCCCUGGACAAAGACUGACGCUCAUGCACGAAAGCGUGGGGAGCAAACAGGAUUAGAUACCCCUGUAGUCCCUGUCUCUUAUAU